GGUGGGAUAGCUGGGUCAAAUGGUGGUUCCAUUCUCAGUUUUCCAAGGAAUCUCCAUACUGCUUUCCAAAUUGGCUCUUUCUACCAAUUUGCAGUCCCACCAGCAAU
rnacentral:pre_miRNA from 1 species